GACGUAGGGGGCGAGCGUUGUCCGGAUUCACUGGGCGUAAAGGGCGCGUAGGCGGUUACGCAAGUCGGAUGUGAAAAGUCACGGCUCAACUGUGAUCGUGCAUCUGAUACUGCGUUGACUUGAGGUCGGUGGAGGCAAGUGGAACUAGCGGUGUAGCGGUGAAAUGCGCAGACAUCGCUAGGAACGCCGGUGGCGAAGGCGAUUUGCUGGGCCGUACCUGACGCUGAUGCGCGAAAGCUAGGGGA
rnacentral:rRNA from 1 species